rnacentral:lncRNA from 1 species
UUCUCACCAUCUUCCCGAUCUCUUUUGUGGUUUUUGUUUUAGAAGCAAGUUGAUUUCACAGUGUUCAGAAAAUGUUCAGACUGAGUAACAACCUUGUUGGCAUCCUCAACUUCAUCACCUUCCUGCUCUCAGUCCCUAUCUUGGGAGCGGGAAUAUGGCUGAGCCACCGGGCCAGCACCGACUGCGAGAAGUUUUUGGAGAAGCCCGUGAUAGCGCUUGGUGUGUUUCUCAUGGUGGUGUCACUGGCGGGGCUGAUCGGGGCCUGUUGCAGAGUGUCGUGGCUUCUCUGGGUCUACCUACUGGUGAUGUUUCUCUUGAUCGUGCUUCUCUUCUGCUUCACCAUCUUCGCCUUUGUGGUCACUAACAAGGGUGCCGGAGAGGUUUUGUCUGGGAAGGGGUAUAAGGAGUAUAGGCUCGGGGAUUACUCCAAUUGGCUGCAAAAGAGAGUUAACAACACCAAGAACUGGAACAGGAUCAAGAGCUGUUUGCAGGAUGGCAAGGUGUGUCAGAGCUUGAGCCAGGACAAGGUUGGCGAAACUGUUCAGCAGUUUUAUGCGGAGCAGUUGUCUCCCAUUCAGGUAUGGCGUUUGUUUCAGAUCUGGGUUUUGUGUUCGUUUCAUUCUUCACAAAAUUCUUUUUUUUUGAUUCUGUAGCAUGUAUUUUUUUCGGAUCGAUCCGAUUCCACUUUUCAAUUUCUGUUUUUUCUGUUUCCUCCGUAGUUUUGAUUUAGGUUUAUUGCAAGAAAUCUCCCACACUGGUUUGAGAUUUGGAAGUUUUGAAAUUUCUUUUUGGGUCAAGAAAGAAGAAAGAUUCUCGUAGGGGCAAAAUUGAUUAUUAAACCUUUAGUUGAUUUAUUUAUUUUCCUUUUGGUAUUAUUUAAUUCAAUGCAUGUGCUGUAUUCUGUGAGUGAGUUUUCUUUAUCUUUUGCUUGUGAGAUUUUCUCGGAAAGAUAAGAGCCUUUUUGAAAUUGAAAAAUUCAAAAUUGGAGUGAAAUUCAAACUAGAUUUGAACUUUUCACGGGUUCUAAUUCAAGUCUGUAUGUAGUCUUUUGUUGAAUUUCUGUGAACCCUAAAUUGUUGUUCUGGGUUUCUUGCACGACUCUUGAGAAUUUUUGAAACUGGUUCCAGUUUAGCACUAUGCAGAACUGCCUUACCAAUUAACCCUCCAAGAAACGAUCUUCCCAUAUUAAUUCUCUCCAGAGGCUUUAUGUCCCUAUUCAUAGAAAUAAAUCAUCUGUUCAUAGAACUAAAUGCCUUGAUAAAAUUUUGUCCUUUUUCAGAUGUUGCUGUUCUUGUUGUCAUUAAACUACAAUCUGUUUCUGAUUGGUAUUUGUUUAUUUGCAGUCUGGUUGCUGUAAGCCAUCAAAUGAUUGUGGUUUCACCUAUGUCACUCCGACUAAUUGGACCUCGACGAACGCGGCUACAUACACCAACUCUGACUGUUCUUUGUGGAAUAAUGAGCCUAGCAUUCUGUGCUUCAAUUGCCAGGCGUGCAAAGCCGGAGUGCUGGACAAUCUGAAGCGUGAUUGGAAGAAGGUUGCCAUUAUCAACAUUAUAUUCCUUGUUUUCCUCAUUAUUGUAUACUCCAUUGGAUGCUGUGCAUUCAGGAACAACAGAGAGGACAAUGCUCAACCCAGAUGGAAGCCAUACCCUUGAGAUCAUUUCCAAUAGGUUGGAUUGGAUAUUAGUGAGGAGAGUUGUAGAGGGCUCCUACCUCUUAUUGUAUGAAUUCAGUAUUACUACCGUUGCAUUAGCAUUUGGUUCUUUUCUCUUGUAUAGCUUUCUGUGUAUGCUUGACAUUUCAUGUGACAUCGGAGCUAUGGUUCUUAUGUAGUUGGGGCUUGUUAUAUUUUGGUUGCAGCAAGUUUGAUGAUUCUGACUUAAUUGAUUUGGUGUAACCCAUUAGUUGAAAGGGUGUGGGGGUUCAUAACAGGUGCUGCUAUCAGUUUUCCUGUUGAAUCAGGACCUGUGCAAUACAUCCCUUACCCUCAACAUUGAUGCUAAGAUUUCCGAGUAAGGCAAGUCCAAGUGUUCUGAAAAUUGCUGAACUUUUCCUCUGUGGAAGUAUCAGGCAAGUGAAGAGUAGACAGAGACGCGUAUGAACAAACAAUAUAAGGCAUGAUGAGGUGUUUUUGGAAAAUUAGUCCAGACGAGUCAUCCCACUCAGGAUACGCAUUGAAUGCUUGUGGUGCAGCAAUAUUUUUUCUGAUGUGACACUUGAGAAAGAGGGAUAUCCAAGGCCCAAGGGUGGUUAUAGAUAAGAUGAGAACCAAAUUGAUCCCCUCAAGAUAUUAAUAUCUUGGCAGCAGCGUACAAAUGUAGCAACCAUAUAAGUCAAGACUGGCAGCCCCAGCAUUAUUAUCCUUUAGUUUCAGUCAUCUAGCUACCACUCUCAUAUGUUGGAGCCUAGAUGCACCAUUAUGAAAUAUGGGGCCUUGUAUAACGUUCGUACCUGAUGUGGAAGGCAUUAUAUUUGGGUGGGCCACACCCCCAAUCAUUCAAAACCUGUAUAACAAGUUACGCCAAGGGAGGUGGGCCUGUGCAGUUGUUGUGGUUCUCCUUUCGCCUGAUCCGUUGGUUUUUAACUUCAAUUUUGGGUUUCAAGUUUGGGCAGGAAGUUAAUACAAGGUAACCGCACCAAAACCCGUAUAAAUAAAAUGACGUCCAAGCGUAGGGUACAAUUUUAGCUUAAAAAAAAACUGGUGAAUCAGGUACCGAGCCUGAAAGUGAUAUUGGAAUGCAAAUGAAGUGGAAAGAUUAAGAGAAUGAAAGAAAAUGACUGCCAGAAACUCUUUCUUGAUUUCAUGCUUUGGACAAGAAAGUGAUUGAAAAGUUAUGUGCAAAAUAAAAAUUAAUUAAUCCUUAGGGUCCAUUCCUUACCAUAGAAUGAUCCUUGCUAUCAAUAACUCUAUUAUUAGUGUUUGCCUAUUAAUUGAAUUCCAUGUAUUAAUGUCAUUUUUCUUAAAAUAUUAAUAAUUUAAAAUUUGUUGUCCUGACUCAUAUGAGAAUGUUCUAAGUCAACUUGAUUGGACAUGUCUAGUCACUUCAACCACUUUGAAGCAUUUUAUUGGUUGGACAAAAACUGCUAUGGAGAAUUCCUUGCAACUUUGAAGAAUGGGAAAGUUGUGUUUGCAAUCAACUAUUUGAAAGUAAUGUGAUAAUCAAACUCUACUAAGUUAAAAUAUGAGAUUUGACUAUCAAAGGGGAAAAUAUUAUUUUUCUCGUGAAAAUAUUAUUUUUCUCGUGCACUCUUUGCUGACUCCAUUUUAUGUUCCUAGAUUGCCCCUCCAUGCCUCCAUGUCAGUGGCAACCUUGUCUCCAUAUCAACAACAAGCCCUCUAUGUCACAAGAGAGACUGAAAAUUUAAAAAACAGAAAAAUCUGAAUUUAAACCUAUGAAAAAUCACUCGACCCAACAACCGACUGUUAUUUCCCUAAUCUGAAACCUUUCUUCUCUCUAAUUUAGGAGCAUUUCUCUCUCUCUCUCUUGGCUUCAUCACCCACACAAUUCCGAGACCCAUCUAAAAUUUCCCAAAAAUUAUCUCAUUUGAGAGAAAAAAAACCAUUAAUCCAUAACUCCAACCUACGUGUUUAUCUCUUGUCCACAUAAAAGUGCAACAAAAUGGAGCAUUCCAUCCUAAGAAUGUCCAAUUAAAAGACAACUUCAAGAAGUGCAUAUGUGAUUGUGAAUUUACUAUAGUAGUACGUACCUGAAUGGAAAGCUGGAAUCCAAAAUAUUGGCUUCAUCAACAAGAUAUCUCUUCCUGUCAUUGAGUCGCAUUUUGCCCUAACCCCAAAUUGAAAUUUGAAGGUAAAUAAUUUUUAUUUAUUAUUCUUUUGUUCAUUUGUUUGAAAUGGAGCACAUCAACGAUUUUGGAGUCAUUGGUGGACUUGAACUUUCGUGUUGGGUUGUGGAAAUCAUAUUAUUCCCAAAUAACCAUAUGACCUACAAGUCGCAUUGAAUCCAGAUUGAACUUAUAUCAUAUCCGAUUGCAAGUCGCAUUGUUAUUUUGAGGAUUGUACCUUGGUACUACCUUAAUAGCCCUUAGGUACUACCUUAAUAGCCCUUAGGUACUACCUUAAUAGCCCUUAGGUACCACCUUAAUGUACCUUAGAUACUACUUUAACGGAGCUUAGGUACUACCUUAGUUAAACUUGGGUAUUACCUGUUUGAAGCCUUGGAACUUCAAUUGUGGACAUUACUUACUUCAUUUGUGACCAUUAGAGCAUGCCAUUAUGUGAUUAUUUAGUGUGGUGAAAUGGUUCACCUUUAUUAUUUUGGGGACUAUACCUUAGGUACUACCUUAAUAUCCCUUAGGUGCCACCUUAAUGUACCUUAGAUACUACUUUAACGGAGAUUAUGUACAACCUUAGUUAAACUUGGGUACUACCUAUCCGAAGUCCCAGAACUUCAAUUGUGGACAUUUCUUACUUCAUUUGUGACCCUUAGAGUAUGCCAUUAUGUGAUUAAUUAGUGUGCUCAAUUGGUUCACCUUUGUUAUUUUGGGGAUUGUACCUUAGAUACUACCUUUAUAGCCUUUAGGUACCACCUUAAUCAACCUUAGGUACUACCUUAACCGACCUUAGGUACUACCUUAGUUAAAGUCGGGGACUACCUAUCUUAAGCCUCAGAACUUCAUUCGUGACCCUUAGAGCAUGCCAUUAUGUGAUUAUUUUGUGUGGUCAAGUGGUUCACCUUUGGUAUUUUGGGGACUGUACCUUAGGUACUAUCUUAAUAGCCCUUAGGUACCACCUUAAUCAACCUUAGAUACUAUCUUAACUGAUCAUAGGUACUACCUUAGUUAAAGUUGGCUACUACCUAUCCGAAGCCUUAAAACUUGAAUCCCGCACAUUACUUGUUAUAUUUUGAAUUUUGUAGUUAAUCAUCACUAUUAUUAUCCUAAAAUGUGGUAUACAUGUGUGAAUUAUAUACAUUUUGUACUAUCUUUUGCAAUAGUAAUUACUUGAUUGAUUAUCAAAAAUUAACCAACAACAAUUAUGUCAUCAGAUGACGAACAUGCAAACAUACUAUGUAGUGUUUGUGGGUCACAUACAUGGAGUGUACGAUUCUUGGGUUGAAUGUUAAAAAAAUGUGCUCCUUUAUAAGGGGAGUGUUUACAAAGCAUAUACUUCUAGAGAGGAAGUUGUUCGAGUUUGGUUGUUCUAUGCACCAAGAUGGAAAAGAAGCGAUGAAUGUUUAUCAACUGGCAAACCAAAGUUUGAACAUGCAGUUGAUGAUAAGCAUUCCUUGCAAAAUAUUUCAUAUACAUAUGUAAUCAGUUUCUUUGCUGGCUUCUUUGUAGCAUGUGUUUUGCUUAUUGUAAUAUCUAGUUUAACAUAGGUUGUGGAAAUGUGUUAUGAAUAUCAAUGUCUAGUAAUGUAUUUUUCGUAGUGUUCAUAGGUACCAUGUGAUUAUUAUUAUCAACUUUGUUAAACUAAAAAUGAUGACUCAAACGUUUGGAGCAUAAGACUAUUUGUUUGUUAAAGCUAGCAACACAAGACAAUUUGAGAUUUUUUUGACACAUCAUAAGCUUGGGAAUAAAUUUUAGUUGAGAUGUAAAGCUAAACACUGUAUCUAAGGAAAUUAAAUUUUAGCAUAUUUCAAAUUUAAAUUAAAGCUAAUAUGUACAAAUUUUGUUAAUACAAGCAAAAAUAAAUUUCUAAUUAUUUAAAUUAUGUUUGUUUUUUUUUUUUUAUAGAAAUUAUAAUUGGAUAAUGCAAAAAUAAUGUAAUUUAAAAAUAUAUAGAGAGAAGAAGGGCUAAGAAAUUUUCCUCAUCUAUAAUUUAAUCAGGGACAAUAAAAUUAUAGGAAUUCUUUUUUCUUUAUUAUUUUUAUGUGAAAAUUUUCAAAACCUUAAAAAAAAACCUUUAUUGGGAACUUAAAUAAUAUAAAAACAAUUUUAUUGACUUAUUUUCCCUAAAAGAAACUAUACAUUUAUACAAUACACAAAUUCUUGUAUCAUUCUUUAUCUUCUAAAAAAAAUUAUUAAACAUAUUUUCUAAUUAAAAAAAACUAUUUUCUAUUUUAAAUAAUAAGAACUAUUAUUUAAACAAUUUGCAUACAAAUACCAAGUUUUAUUUCUUAAAAAAAGGAAAGUGGCUUAUGUUUUGUUCCUUAUGAUUCUAAUGUGUUAUUUGUCUUGGGUACAUUUGGCCUGUGAGAAAAAUACAAUGGGUUUGGUUGUCAUUUCCAUUUCAUAUUUCAACCUUCCAAGCAUUCUCUGAGGCAUCUCCUCCUUCAUUCCAAACAUUCUCCAAAGAAUCUUCUUAUACACCCUGCAUUUUUUUGGUUCUCAUAAAGUUAUUCUCUUUGUUUGAUCAUCCAUGAAAAUGCCAAAAUAAGAGAAAAUUAAAAUUUUCAGGUAAUUUUUUUGAAGACAAUGGGAAUAAAAUAAAAUAAAAAAAUAGUUAUUUUCCUUCCUCAAUAUUUUUUUAACCUUUCUCCAUAGGAGCCAUACUAACAUUCAUAUAAAAAAACUACAAAAACAUAAUAGAGUCAUAUUCUCCUAAAGAAAGAAAACAUAAAAAGGAUAUAGAACAACCAAAAAGGUCUUCAUUCAGGCUUCUCAUCCCACCUACUCUUGUUGUGUGUAUCCGUCCCAUGUAUCACCUUUUCCAAUUGCAUCACUGUAGCUAGUAUGAGUUGCUUGGUACAAAUAUCAUUAGGCUCAUUAUCACUAAUCCACCCACAAAAACACAUGCACCUUUGCAUUAGAAAACUAUUUAUUGGAGCUGAGGAGCUAAUCAAGUGUAGAAGAGAGUGAAGAGCGUUUUGGUCCAAACUGAUGUCUUUCUCAUUGGUUCUUUCUUCUUCAACCAGUGGAUUACAGUCUUCACUUCUUGCAAAACAAGUGCUCAUACUGCAAUAAAAAAUGAUAGUCAUGAGGUUGUUUGAAGUUUGGAUGCACUUUUUUCGGUUUUGUUUCAAGGAAAUGCAUUCUUGUCAAAGAUGUUAACUUUUGUUGUUUGGUUAAGUACAAGAAAAUUGAAAACAAGGAUGUUAACAUUCUUGUCAAAGAUGCAAACCAAUAAAGAUUACAAGGGUUGCAUCAACUGCAGAUAAAAUUUAACACAAUUACUUGAAAAGAUGAGUAUAUAGUCCAAAUUAUCUAUUUCAUUGGUCUGUGAUGCUACGUCUUCAACUCCAGUCGAGGGCAUAAUAGCAUAUGACGUGUCAUUAUCAUCUCAUGCAUUGCCUUCUGAUGAAUCACCCUUCAAAAGUGCAUCAUUCAAACAAAAAGUAAAUGUUAAGUUGGGUUUUUAUUUUACUAAUAUUUCCAUAUCAGCCCAUGGAAACCAAAGAAACCCCUAAAUAAUCACAUAAUGGGAUGCUCUAAGGGUCACAAAUGAAGGUCCAAGGCUUCGGAUAGGUAGUACCCAAAUUUAAUUAAGGUAGUACCUAAGGUUGGUUAAGGUAGUACCUAAGGUUGAUUAAGGUGGUACCUAAGGGCUAUUAAGGUGGUACUUAAGGUACAGUCCCUAAAAUACCAAAGCUGAACCACUUGACCACACAAAAUAAUCACAUAAUGGCAUGCUCUAAAGGUCACGAAUGAAGUUCCAAGACUUCAGAUGGGUAGAACCCAACUUUAACUAAGCUAGUACAUAAGGUCGGUUAAGGUAGUACCUAAGGUUGAUUAAGGUAGUACCUAAGGGCUACUAAGGUAGUACCUAAGGUACAGUCCCCAAACUAACAAAGGUGAACCAAUUGAGCACACUAAUUAAUCACAUAAUGACAUGCUCCAAGGGUCACAAAUGAAGUAAGAAAUGUCCAUAAUUGAAGUUCUGAGGCUUCAGACAAGUAGUACCCAAGUUUAACUAAGGUAGUACCCAAUGUAAGGAUCACCAUAGGGAUCUUUUCUCCCUCAAUUGUUAGUUACAAAUUAGUUAAAGAGUCUUUAAGUACAAGAAGGCGUAAGAAAGCAUGGUGAUACUCUGAGAUCUUGUAAGUUGGUGAUGAUUUACUCAUUGGGAAUGAUGUAGGGACAUUGUAAUCAUUCAAGAUUUGGUUGUCUACUUAGUUCUAGAUGAAAAUCUAGAAAGGAUGCAAUAUAUUCUUAGGAUUAAGGUCCUUCGAGAAUAUAAGAAUAAGAAAAUUGUCUUUCUCACGAUUAAUAUCUUGGUACAUUUGAGGAGAGAAAUUGUAUUUAGGUAGUAUCCUAUGCUUUUGCUAUAGGUAGCCUUAUGUAUGUGAUGCUAUAUGUUAGACCGAAUAUUUUUUUUUUUUUAAAGAAUGGUGAGUAGAUGUUAGUUCAAUUGAGGAUUAACAUUUUAAGUGGAUGUUAAGCAUAUAUUCAAGUAUCUUAGGAGAAUGAGAGAUUACAUGCUUGAGUCUUUGUAAUAAGUUGGUACUUGUUAGGUACCAGGAAUUAGACUUUUAGUCUGAUGAGAGCUCUUGCAAGUCUACCUCUGGGUAUGUGUACACUUUAAGUGAUAUUACUUGUUGCUUCUAAAGUAACAAAGAAAGCUAUUUAGCUUGAGAUGUUUCUUAUAUGAACUAGGGGUAGUUCCCUUGGCUAUAUCAUUCAGGAUGUUGUUAUGUGAUAACAGUAGGGCAAUGGCAUGGUUUAAAGAACCAACAUACCAUUGGAAGAAAAAAUGCAUAGAAAGGGAAUACUGCCUUUUUGUGAGAUAGUUUAGAAAUGUGGUGUUGUUAGAUAGAACCCUUAAAAGCAUGAUAUGAUGAAAUAAAUUUGGAAUUCGUUAUUUAUUUAAUGAUGUUCCAAUUUCAAUUUUAUCUAUCCUUAUUCUAUGUAUUAUACUUUAUGAGUAUUCUUAUCUAUAUUUUUUACGUUGUACUUGACUAGGUGCAUUAGAAGUUGCACAGAAGAUUUAAGUCAUGGGUUCCUUGCAAAUAGAUGACUUGUUCACAAUCGGUUUGUGGGUUUAGGAAAUCCAUUAGAGGUUGUAAUGCAUCACCUCUUAAUUGGAAGGAUCACUUGUCUUGGCUAUUGGGAUGAGUUUCCCAUGGUGAGUGCACUAGCGCGUAUGAUUACACAUUGGACAGGACCUACAGUGAGUCAUGGCUUAAGGAUAUCAAGUAAUCAUAAUCUCACUAAGUUGCUUCUUUGUGUUGUCUCUCAACCUUAAGAGAAUAAUGAGCUCGUGCUAAAGUUAGUAGUAGCUUUAAUCAACGGUAAGAUAGUAAGCUGAUCAUAUAUUUCUUAUGGAUUGGGUCAUUGUUGAUGGAAGUUGGUAGCAAUAGGUUUUCUUAAUAGAAGCACCAUGAUAUCUCAUGGGAUUGAGAUAGUGUGUCCCAUUGGGUAAUCCUAAGGAGGUGUGUUCAAGGAAACUAUGACCAUAGUAGUUCCUUAAGUGGAAGUUGACAUAGACUCUUUGAGAGCUAAGACAUGUUAGUUGAAUACACAAUUGGAAAACUUGUAACUCAAGGAUAGUAAAGGUAGUCUUGAAAGGUUGAUAACUCUCACUUUUGUUAGAUUAUGAACACUAGUUCAUGGGGAGACUGAACAUAAUGGAUAGUAGGUCAUGGACCUAGCACAUAGUGUUUUGUUGUUAUUUACAUAGGAUACUGGAAUUCAGUUGAUUCUAUAUAGUGGGAUGUUAAAUCAACUUUAGAAUUGGAUUACAAGGAAGACAAUACUCCUAUGUGUCCCAAUGGUCCUUGCUUUGAGCUUAUAUACAUUAUUGACACAUCUUAUAAGGGUCGGAUUGACUCUAGGUUCAUUUUUGUGCAUGAGAGUGUUUUGGUAAUUAUGCAAGGUUGCAUAGGGGUAAGUGACCAAGGUCUCUAGAUUGGGUUAAUUGAUUAAUUAGUAGGCCCAUUUUGGGCUAGAUUAAGUUACCCAAGCCUAUGUGGGCUCAAUUCACUUAAGCCUAGUUAGAAACCUUAUAAAUACCUCAUAUGGGUUCGGGUUUCCAUCACUUUUUGUUUUCCACCAUCCAAAGAGAAAGAGAGUCAUAGCCACUACCCUUCUUUUUUUUCUAUUGAAAGUGUUCCAAGAACAAGGUUGAGUCAUUACGUGGAAGAUCGUGGGUUUAUAAGACUUCCAACAACUUCAAGGUCAUCUUCAACACUUGAAAUUUAUGGUUUAGGAACAUCUAAACCUAAAGGUUAGUACUUUAACCUUAAAAGAUCAUUUUUUAAAUAAAAAAAACAAUUGGUAUUGCUUUCAUUACUUAAAUCUAAGAUGUCAAAAUGUGUGCCUAAAGUAGAUUUUUUCUAUGGUGCCCAUUCUACUUUUAGGGCUAGUGGGAGUUUGUUCGGCUUAAGCCCUUAAAAGCAAGACAUGAUGUAUGGAAGUUAGACUCAAUAGCCCAUUUGUUAAUUUUUUUUUAUGCAUUGACAUUGAUUUGAUCAUUCAACCCAUAACACUUACACUGUACAUGACAUAGGUGCAUUAGGAGUUGCAUAGGGGAUAUGAGUCAUGGGUUCCUUGCAAGAUGGUAAGUUGUUCACAAUCAAUUCAUGGAUUUAAGUAAUCCAGUAGAGAUUGUAAUGCACUACCUCCUAAUUAGAGGGAUGACUUGUCUUGGCCAUCAGGAUAGGUUUUCCAUUGUUAGUGCAUUAAUGUGUAUGGUUACACAUUGGAUAGAACCCAUGGUGAAUCAUGACAUAAGACUGACUAUCAAUUGUUAUGACUCACCAAGCUAUUAUGUUGUAUGAACUCUUAAACCUGAGAGGAUGUUGAGCCUGUGUUGAAAUGAAUAUGAGGCUUUGCCCUAUGAGUGAGACCUUAAGGUACUUAUAUAUCCUUACGGAUUGGGUCACUAUUGAUGGAGAUUGGUGGCAACAAAUAUUCUCAAUAAGGACACCAUAAUAUCUCAUGGGAUUAAGACAAUGUGUCUCCUUAGGUGAUCUAAAAGACAUGUGUUCAUGAAUUUAUGGCCGUAGUAAUUCCAUUAGUGGAAUUUGACAUAUGCUCCUUAGAGUUAGAGUAUAUUAGUUGAUCACAUAAUAAGUGGGAUCUUCAACUCGAGGAUUGAUGAGGUAAUCUUGAUAGGUGAUAACAUUACCCUGUUAGAUUACAUACACCAAUUCAUGGGACAUCUACAUGCAAUGAAUAGUAGGUCACGAGCCCGAACUUUGUUCAUUAUAAGUUCAUAGGAUAUUAGAGCAUAGUUGAUUAUGUUUAGGGGAGUGUUGAGUCAACUUCAAAAUUGGAUUUUGAGGAAGCUAAUAUUUUCCUAUGGGUCUUAGUGGUUCUCACUUAAGUUCUUAUUUCAUGGAAACACAUGCUUUAAGGGUAUUUUGGGUAUAUAAUUCAUAGGUGUGCAUAAGGGCGUUUUAGUAAAAAAACAAAGUUGCAUUAGAUCUUAUGAAUACACUUUCUAGUUAUGUUAAUUAAUUAAUUGGAAUCUAUUAGAACUAAUUAAUUAAUUAGGAUCAAAGUAGGUUAGAUUAGGUGACCUAAUUUAGGCUCAAAUAACUUAAGUUUAUAAAGAGCCUUAUAUAGUUUCCUUUCACCAUUGUCUUCUAGAGAUAGGAACCCUAAUCAUCUUCUAGAGAGAGAGAGAAAGAGAGAGGGAAAAGUCCAACCUUCUCUCAAGCCAAGACCCAUGCCAUGGAGAGAGAGAUCGGAUGGAAAAGCAUUGGGUAGACAAGUGAUGGGAAAAACCCGGAUUUCUUCAUUUCCCAAGCUCGAAUCAGGUUAGGAACAUGCAUAACUAACCUAGACUUUUUCUAAAUCCUAUGCAUAGUGGAAAAAUAGCAUUUUUAUACUUUAAAAGGAUUCAAAAAGUGCUAAUGAAAACCAUACCUAAGAUUCAGUUGUUCUCGAAUUAAAUCCACAUGGUGAAGAUGAAAAUCGAAACUACAAAAGUCUCGUAAACCUAGAGUCUUCCUCCCGAUGACUCAAACCUUGAUCUUGGCACACUUGCGGUGGAAAGGAAAAGAGGGUGGAGGCUAUGGUUUUCUAUCUUUCUAGAUGGUGGAAGACCAAAGCUAUAGAAACCCUAAUCCCUAGGGGUAUUUAUAGGGUUCCUAAGUGGGCUUAAGUGACUUGAGCCCACAUAGGCUUGGAUCACUUAAUCUAGCCCAAAAUGGGUUUUAAUUGAUUAAUUAACCCAAUAGGGCUUAUUAAUAAAUCAAUUAGCCCAAUCCAUAGACUUUAUUCACUUACCCCUAUACAACCUUGCGUAAUUACCAAAACACCCUUAUGCACAAAAGUGAACUUAGAGCUAAUUCAACCCUUAUAACCCAUGCCAACAAGGUAUAUGAGCUCAGAGCGGGGGCCACUGGGGUCCAUAGGAAUACUGGCUCCUUCACAAUCCAAUUCUAAAGUUGAUUGAGCAUCCUACUAUAAAGAAUCAAUUGAACUCCAAUAUCCAAUGUAAAUAACAAUGAGAAAUCAAGUGCUUGGGUCCAUGACCUGCUAUCCAUUGUGUUCAGUCUCCCCAUGAACUAGUGUUUGUAGUCUAACAAUCAUUGAGUUACAGAUCCUCUUAUUGUGCGUUCAAUUGACAUAUCUUAGCUCUUAAAGAGUCUAUGUCAAGUUUCACUUAAGGAACUACUAUGACCAUAGUUUCCAUGAACACACCUUCUUAGGAUCACCUAAGGGGACACUCUAUCUCAAUCCCAAGAGAUAUCAUGGUGCUUCUAUUGAGAACACCUAUUGCUACCAGUUUCCAUCAACAAUGAUAUAAUCCAUAGGGAAUAUAUGAUCAGCUUACGAUCUCACCUGUAGGUCAAAAUCAUUACUACCUAUUGACAAUACAAUGAAGUAGCUUGGUGGGGUCAUGACUACUUGAUAGCCUUAAGUGAUAACUCACCAUAAAUCUUGUUCGAUGUGUAACCAUACAUACUAGUGCACUCACCAUGGGAAACCCAUCCCAAUAGCCAAGACCAACCAUCCCUCCAACAUCAUUAAAUAAAUAAUAGAUUCCAAACUUAUUACAUCAUGUCAUGAUUUUAAAGACUCUAUCCUAACAAUCUCCUAUUAACCCUUAAAGCAUCAUGGUUAUAAAGCAUGCUAGAGACUUUCCUUGUCAAUGUCUUAGUGAAGGGAUAAACUGGGUUCUCCACAGAAGGGAUCUUGUCAACUAUCAUAUUACCCUAUAAACUAUCUCAACACUUUAGAGCACAAACACAUAAUCCCUCGUUAUCUUAAGAUACUUGAGUAUAUGCUUGACAACUGUCCAAUGUUUUGGACUUGGAUUAGACUGAUAUCUACUCACCAUACCCACUACUAAGCAAAUAUCUGGCCUAGUACAUAGCAUUGCAUACGUAAGGCUACCCACUGCAGAGGCAUAGCGUAUUGAUUGCAUGCACUCUUUCUCCUUAAGUGUUUUAGGACACUGAUCCUGAGAAAGAGGAAUUCGAUACCUAAAAGGCAAGAAACCUUUCUUGGAAUCUUGUAUCAUAUGCUUGACCAAAAGCUUAUCUAUGUAGGUAGCUUGAGAUAGUGCUAGUUUCCUAUUCUUGUGGUUCCUAAGGACCUUAAUCCCAAUAAUAUACUAGGUUUCUCCUAGAUCCUUCAUUUGGAACUGAGUAGACAACCAGAUCUUAACUAAUGAUAGUAGCCUUACAUCAUUACCAAUGAGUAGAAUGUCAUCAACAUACAAGAUCAUAAAGACCACCAUGUUUCCCUAUACCUUCUUGUGCACACAAGGCCCUAUGCUAUGAAAAUAUUUGGUUACAUCAUAUAGAUACAAAUAUCAAGAUAAUAGUUUAAGAACAAUAUCUUGACAUCCUAUUGCAAUAUUUCAUAAAUAAGAUACAUCGUAAUAGGUAGGAGUACUCUAAUGGAUUUGAAUAUGGCUACUGGUGAAAAGGUCUCCUAUAUUCGAAACAAUGUUUCAAACUAUAACCUUUAGCUACAACCUAGCCACAUAAAAAUCAAAUUUUCCAUCUACUCCUAUGUUCCUCUUAUAGACCAACUUACACCUAUGGAUUUUAUCCAUUCAGGUGCUUCUACAAGAACCCAGACUACAUUAAAAUCACAAGGAUUCUAACUUUGCCUUCAUAGCUUUUUGUUAAAGAUGUGUAUCCACAUCACUCAUUUUUUUAUCGUAAUCUAUGAGAUCGAUCUCAUGUUCCUUUAUAAUGGCUUCAAAACACUUUCCCAAAUACAUGAAUCGGUUUGGUUGUUUAACAACCCUCCCAUUACAACAAGGCAUUAGUGUACGAGAAAUGGGAAUGGUUGGUACUAGAUCCAUAGUAUGCUGUGUAUAGUGGGAUUAUCUUCUAGUAUUCUCCAAUCUAUAUCAUUGUUUACCUUAUUACAUAUCAUAUAGUCUUAAUCAGAAAAUCUAGUAUUUGUAACAACAAACACCUUCUGAUAAUUCUGACUAUAAAGUAAGAAUCCCUAAAUCCUAUUGGAUAUCUUAUAAAGUGAUACACUUCUUUAGAAAAAGAGGUAUUAUACAUCCUUUAAGAUAUAUCUCUAAAGAAUAUGGGAAGUAAUGAGAAACCAAUCAUUGAUCUCACUAUGUCUAUCAAAGUUCAAUAUCUUCUUUCCAUUACUCCAUUUUGCAAUGUAGUCCUUGGUGCACACAACUAGGAUAUCAUCUCAUGCUCCAUAUGGAAAAGAUCGAACCUACUAGACACAUUACCUUGAUCUAAUCGAAGUAUCUUGAUAUGUUUACCCAAUAGGUUAUCUGAUUCCGCCUUAAAUUCAAUGAAUUUAUUAAAGGCAUCAGACUUCCAAUCUAUAUAUGCAAAACUAGAGUGUUUAUCAAUAAAAUGAUCAAAUACCCAUACUUUCCAUAUAUAACAAAAAAAAAGGUUCAUAUAUGAGAGUAUGCACUAACUCUAAACAUUCCUUGGUUCCAAGUCCUUUAAAAAUAAAGGGGCCUCUUGGCCAUUUUACUAUCUAUAUAGGAUUCAUAGAUUGAAAAAUCUUCUGGAUUAAGAAGAUCUAGACUUAAUUAGUCUUUGGAUCCUAUAUAGAUUAAUAUGACUUAAGCAUUAGAAGCCAAAUAUUUGAUUAGUGCUAAGUUAUUUCUUUUAGUGAGAUUUGACUAUUCUCAUUACUUGGCAAAAUGAUAAUGGAGUCUCACAUAAAAAAGGUAAUACCUCCCAUUAGCUUGCACAACUAACCUUGCAAUUGAAGUUAAGGUAAGUAUAAUCCCAUCAUGUGACCUUCUCACUUGUUGAAAACCAUGUAAAAAACUACAAAUAGUGGGCCUAGAAUCUAUCUACCACAAUUGGUGAAAUCCACCACUAUGUAUUCAAUAACAAGAACAUGAUGUGUACUUGCCUAUCCUUAGGCACUUCAAGUAUUCAUUUUUUAAGUGUCCUAAAAGGUCACAAAUGAAUCAUUGCCCAUGAGUUUGUUCUUUGAUUCAUUUUCUUGAACUUUACUUAUUUGGUGUUGUUGUUCUUCUUGGCAGAAAGGCUUGAAGAACCUUGACUUUCAUAUGUACACUCUUUUACUCUUUGAAAAUCUUCUUACCCAUCCCAAAGGAACCCGGAAAGAUCUCUAAGAUAACUUGAAUACUAGUGUUCGUAAUAGUCUAGUUGUCUAGUUGACUUCCUUUAUCACCAAAUAACCCUUGCAACUUUAAAGAGAAUAUCAUAGACUAUGACAAUAUACAUGUGUUGCUUUUGCAACACAUUAUCUAAAUAUCCAAGUAUAAGAGACUUAGUCUUUUGAUCAGUCUUAUGCCAAAUUUGAUAGGCUUCUUUUACUUUAUGAUAGGAUUGUUCAAAAGAAAUAACAAACUCUACCAAAAUUAGCUUCUAUGCAAUUAAUACUAUAUCCAGAUUAUUUUUAGUAUAUGAUUAGGACCAAUUUAAACAAAAGAUAAUAGACGACAAGUUAAAGGCAUGAGAUUUGUAAUAAAUAUAAUAAUUCCAUGCAUUAUUAAAAAGAAAUUGAGCAUUCAAGGCAAGUUGGUAAUUAAUUUAACAAAAAUAUAUUGCUCUCAAACUACAUAUAUCCAUGCAAGGUAUCCUAGUAUCAUAAGAAUCAAGCCUACUUUAGACAGGUCAUGACCCUCUCUAAUUAAUCAACAUGCCUUAAACCUCAUAAGGUUAUCCUAAGGCAUUAAUCAACAUACCUUUAUGUUUAGCCCUUAGCCUUUGCAAGUGGGACCACUUUAGUUGAUUUUACCACUUCAUGUCUAAGUUAAGUGUGUAACCAAGAUCCUUGACAUCAAUGUUACUAAGUGAAGAGUUCUAUCUUUAGGAUUGACCACUCCCAUUACAAACAUAUAUAGUCCUGUUUAUAAAGGAUAGUCCAUAUCUCUUGAUUUCUUGGGCCACCCCAUCUUUAGGAUGGUGAUGGGCACAAAAUCAAGAUGGGCUCGAUCUUGGAGGGUAUGGGCUUGCCUAUGGCCCACUCCAACUAAAUAUUUUGGAAGAGAGACUUUAAGAUAAUUUUGGUAACUAUGUUAAAAUAAAUUAUCUAUCACGAGAAUUUCCAAAGUUUUUAUUUAUUACUUGAAUUGGGACUCUUGUGCCAAAUAGAGAUAUCUUUCAUAUUCCUUAUCCUUGAACUUUCCUUUUCAACUAAAUGGUUUCCUUCUUCUCUCAAGGAGAAGAAGGAGGGGGAGGAGAGAGAGAGAGAGAGAGAGAGAGAGAGAGAGAGAGAGAGAGAGAGAGAGAGAGAGAGAGAGCCUAGAGGAUCAAUUUAGGUGUCAUUCUCUUUCUUUUUGGGGAGAAGAGCCUGGAGAGCAACCUAAUCCAAAUAAAAGAAAGUCCCCAAAUGAAUUUGAAAUUCCAAAUGACAAUAACCAAUUUCUUAAAUAAAUAAAAUGGAAAUAAAACUCAUGAAAAUGUACUCUUUUAAGAAAAUCCAAAAUUAGCAUUUUAAUUUAUUUUAUUUGAAACAAUAUCUUGGUAAGCUAUCUUAAUCAUCAAUUAUCUAUCACAUAUUUUUCCAAAAAUAAUUUAUUUCUUUAAAUUAGAAUCUUGUGCUAAAUAGGAAAUAUUUUAUUUCAUAAAGACUUGGAAAAAUAAAACUUCUACCUCGAAAUAAAAAGAUUCUUAGAGAUCUAAAAUCUAAAAAUAUUUAUUUAAAAAAAUCUCUAAGAGUUUAAUUUUGAAAAGGAAGUAAGUUCCUUAUUUAUUUCCAAUUUUUCUUUUCUUAAAAUAAAAAUUUCCUAAUUCCUACCACAUUCCAAUUUAAUAAAUUAUCUAAAAUAAGGAAAAAAAAUGAAAAUUCAUUUACUUAAGAAUACCAAAAUAUAUUCCAUACCAAAAAAAAAAAAGCAUAAAAGACAUAAAGGAAAUUAAAUAAAUAAUUCCCAUAGCCUUAGGGAUCUUGUUGCAAAUUUGGUAACUAAAAACUUGGAUAAAAUCCAAAUUACCAGAAUAGCCUUGCAACCAAAGAUAGGGUUAGUGAAAAAGAAAAACCCAACGGGCCCAAUUGCCACAAAAAGAGCCCAAAAAGAGGCCCAAAAAUUGAGCCCAAACAACCAAAAACAAUUUGGCCCGAACUCAAUCCCGUAAUUGCAUGCCCUUUGCACAACCUUGCUUCAAUUAGACAUAUCUCCCUUGUUUUAACUCCGAAUUAUGAUAUGUUUGAAGCACUGGAUUUCUGACUUCCUAAGAUUCAAAACCAUAUGUGGUUUGCCCCAAAAUAUCAUGGGAGACAGCCCUAAUUUUGAGUUGAAAUCAGUGUCACUGUGCUGCCAUGCUCUUUGCGUAGCCUUGCUUCAAUUGACUAUAACUCCCUCGUUUCAACUUUGAAUUGUGAUCCGUUUGAAGCGUUUGAUAUGUAACUUCCUAAGCUUCAAAACCAUAGGUGGCUUGCUCCAAGAAACUCAUGGAAAUUCAUCCCAAUUUUAAGUUAAAAAUGAUAAAACUGUGCUGCCAAGGAUCUCAAAUAAAAAACUUCCAAGAUUAUUUCUUUUCCCUUAAAUCACCAUAGGAACUCAUGAAAGAAACUUCAAAAAGCCUUCUUUUCUCUUUUCCAGCAAGGGAAUGUGCACAAGCACUUUGUGAUACUUCAGAUUGCUUCCAUACUCUCCAUAGGUUACAAAGAAUUAUAAAAAAGAAAAUGAAUUUUUACAACAAAAUCCUAUACUCCAAAGAUUUGGAUUUUACAUAUCAUUCUAAUAUAUAUAUAUAAGGAUUUUUACAAAGAACAAAAAUCCUAUGCCUCUUAUGAGGAUUACAACCCAUCUAGGAAAAUUAAAAAGCAAUCCAAAUAAUUAUUACAUCCCAAAUAAAAAGCAAUCACAAUUAUAACCAUCAUAUUAUAACAAGAUUGUAGUAAAUAGUGCACAUUAAUUAUCCCUGAGGCCAUGGGAUAAACAAAAACCUUGAAAAACCAAGUUAGCAUACCCUAGAAUGGUUCUAUCAUGAUUACUAACCUAUGGAUCUGAUACUAAUUGAUGGAAAAAACCUGGAUCUCUUCGUUUCCCAAGCCCGGAUCAGGGUAAGAACAUGCAUAACUAUCCUAGGCUUUUUCUAAAUCCUAUGAACAGCAGAAAAAUAACAUUUUUAUACUUUAAAAUGAUUUAUAAAGUGCUAAUGAAAACCAUGCCUAAGAUUUGGAUGUUCCCGAAUCAAAUCCACAUUAUGAAGAUGAAGAUUGAAAUCAUAGAAGUCUUGUAAAGCCGAAGUCUUCCACUUGAUGACUCAAACCUUGAUCUUGGCACACUUUCGGUGGGAAGGAAAAGAGGGUGGAGACUAUGAAUCUCUAUCUCUAUGGGUGGUGGAAGACCAAAGUUAUAGAAACCCUACCCCUUAAGGGGUAUUUAUAGGAUUCCUAAGUGGGCUUAAGUGACUUGAACUCACAUAGGCUUGGCUUACUUAAUAUAGUCUAAAAUGGGUUCUAAUUGAUUAAUUAACCCAAAAUGGCCUAUUAAUUAAUCGAUUAGCCUAAUCUAGAGACCUUGUUCACUUACCCCUAUGCAACCUUGUGUAAUUACCAAAACACUUUUAUGCACAAAAGUGAACUUAGAGCCAAUCCGACCCUCAUAACCCAUGCCAACAAGGUAUAUGAGCUCAAAACGGGGACCACUAGGACCCAUAGGAAUAUUGGCUCCCUUAGAAUCCAAUUCUAAAGUUGAUUCAACAUCCCACUAUAAAGAAUCAACUAAACUCCAGUAUCCUAUGUAAAUAACAACGAGACACCAAGUACUCGGGUUCGUGACCUACUAUCCAUUGUGUUCAGUCUCCCCAUGAACUAGUGUCUAUAGUCUAACAAGGUGAAAACUAUCAACCUUUCAAGACUACCUCUACAUCCUUGAGUUACAGAUCCUUUUAUUGUGUGUUCAAUUGACAUAUCUUAGCUCUCAAAGAGCCUAUGUCAAGUUCCACUUAAGGAACUACUAUGGUCAUAAUUUUCAUGAACACACCUUCUUAGGAUCAUCUAAGAAGACACAUUAUCUCAAUCCUAAGAGAUAUCAUGUUGCCUCUAUUGAAAAUACCUAUUGCUACCAGCUUCCAUCAACAAUGACCUAAUCCAUAGGGAAUAUAUGAUCAUCAUACGAUCUCCCAUAUGUCAAAGUCAUUGCUAACUUUAGCAAAAGAUUAAUAUUCUCUCAAGGUUGAGAGACAACACAAUGAAAUAGCUUGGUGAGUCAUGACUGCUUGAUAGCCUUAAGUCAUAACUCAUCAUAGGUCCUGUCCAAUGUGCAACCAUACACACUAGUGCACUUACCAUGGGAAACUCAUCUCAAUAGCUAAGAUUAGUCAUCCUUCCAAUUAGGAGGUGGUGCACUACAACCUUUAAUGGGUUGCUUAGGUUCAUGAACCAACUGUGAACAAGUCAUCUAUUUGCAAGGAAACCAUGACUUAGAUCUUCUGUGCAAUUCCUAAUACACCUAAUUCAUGUACAAUGUAAAAUAUGCAAGCAAGAAUGCUCAUAAAGUAUAACACAUGGAAUAAGGAUAGAUAAAAGUGAAACUGGAACAUCAUUAGAUAAAUAAUGAAUUCCAAAUUUAUUACAUCAAGUCAUGCUUUUAAGGGCUCUAUUCUAACAACAAGCUCUAGAGUGUUCUCUAUGCUUUUGAAAUUUUCCUCAGCAUCUCAUCAAAUAUAAUUCAAUCUUGGAAUAUUUAGAUCAUAGGUAUGAAUUUCAAAUCUCUAGAUCUAUGAUUAAUAAUGUUUUUUGUUGUCAUUUGUUUACAUUGUGUUAGAUUUUAAAAAGCCCAAGAUAGAUGCAUAUACCUUACAAGAUCCAAGACUAGGGAAUGGAGCAAUCCGAGGUUUCCAUCAGCAUUCCUAUAUAGUAUCAUCACCCUUAUCUAAAUCUUCUCUUCCCUUAUGGCAUGUAAUAGUCAUUUGAGCUUAUUGCAUUAUGUGCUAGGAUAAAAUUUUGGUCAUUUUUUUUUUCUGAUAUAGUUCACUUCAUUUCACUCAUUACUCACUUUUGCACUCACAUUCCUUGUACUCGUGACUUUUACAGAAGAGGGGCUAUUUGUAGACCUUCCAUUUUGUCCUUAUAUCACAUGUUAUUUAUUGUAUUUGGUUCAUUUUGCCUUGUGUUAUCCUGUAGCAUGUGCGUAAGAUCCUCUUUUGUUUAGCCAUUCAUCACACUCUUUGGUGGUCCACUUGUUCCUCAGUUUAGCAUUGACUCUUGAGCCACUUUUGAAGGGAUUUUCUGGAUCCAUCGCCUAAUUUUACCAACACUCUAGGUUCUCCCAAGUUUUUCAGUGCAAUUGAAGCCCGUUUGGUACCUUUUCAUGCGACCUGAGACUCUUUUAGGGUUAAACUGGUCGAGUCCAAUUGGUUGAAUCAGUUGAGGUGACCAAUCAAUUGAUUGAUUGGGUUUUGCCUCUUUUGGGUCUGUUUCAACUAUUUUUUAGCCCAUUUGUUUGCUAGUUUUAGAGGUUCUUAGAGGUGUUUUAGGAGAGUUUUUAAGAGCUUUAACUCCAUUAGGAACCUUGGAUUACUCUGUUCCUAUACCCUAGAUCUCAAAAGGUGCAUGCAUCUAUCCUUAUGGCUUUUUAGAUCUAAUGCAACAUAAAAUAAUGGCUUCAAAAAUCAUUAUAAAAUAAAGAUCUAGAGAAAAAGUGCUUAUACCUAGAUCUAGAUGUUCCUAGAUCAAUUCCUUGCGGUGAAAAACAUGCCUAGAAUCUCUCCUCAUGCUACUACCCAUGUGCAUGUCCCGUGUGAUUCUUGUGCACAUGGAUUUUGGACAUUGUGUGUGAUUCUCGUUCAUGUGACCUGCAUGCAUCCUGUGUUGUUCUUGUGUGUGUUGCUUGUGUGAUUACAGUACUCUUCUCAUACACCUAAGAUCUUUCGCCCAAUGACUCUUCCUUGUAUCUAGGUAUUGAGAUAGUGAAGAUCUCAAGGGUGGAGGCUAAGGUUUGCUUUUUGGAUUGAAAAGAGAGAAUGAUAAGACCUAGAAACAUUAACCCCUAAAGGGGUAUUUAUAGGUUUCCUACUAGGCUCAAGUAACUUAAGCCCACUAAUUACUACUCAAAAAGUGCUCUUUUAUAGCUUGAAAUUAACUGUUUUAAACACUUUUGAGUAGUAGUUAAUACUUUUUAACUCAAUUGGCACAUUAAGGAACCUAGCAAAGGUUACUAAUCAGUUUUUGGCUAGUUUUGGUGUUUUUGGUAGCUUUUUUAUCAUUGAAACAAGCAAAGAAUGAAGGAUAAUUUUGUGCAAUCCAUGGCAAUGCAAGUUGAAGCUCAAAUACAUGAAGAAUCCGAGUUUUGGAGCUCUUCAUAGCCUUUUUCCAAGCUUGGAAAUAGGUUGUCAAACCAAUUAGAGAUGUAAGGAAGAAAACCAGAGGAAGAAAUCCAACAUGUAGCAAUUUCGCAUAGCAUGUGAAAUCAAGAGAAAGAGCAGCUGUAGGACUGAGUGAAGGACAAUUUUGCACACUAUGUGAAAUUUCGCACACCCUACGAAACCACAAGAUGCAGCAAAAACGAAUUUCGCACACCAUGCGAAAUUUUGCAUGGUCUGCGAAAUCUUCCUGUGCACCAACUUCGUUAGAUUUUUAUCUCUAGAUUUUUGUGUAAAUUACUAUUUUCUCCUUGUAAUCAACCAAUGAUAGGAUUUCUUAGUUAGGAACUAUAAAGGGGGGUUGGAAAGACCUCUUUAUAUAAGAUCUUUUUGUAUAAUCUUUUGUAUGAUGAGACGACACUUGUAAUUCCUGUAGGAAGAAAUAUACAGAGCCCUUGCUCUGCCUUUCCUUCUCAUUUUGUUUUCAUUUUUAUUUCUAGCCAAACAACCUCCGAGGAUGAUUUCUCAAGGGAUGAGUGGCUAAGUUUUACAUUUCUUGGAGUGAUGGAAACUAGGUGAAGGACCAGGAUGCAAAGGUGAGAGUUUUCUUUGCUUUAAACGAAGGUAGUUGUUAACCAUUAAUGGUUUUUAUUUCAAGGUUUAGCUUUAAAUCCCUUAGAAUCACCUUGAAUGGCCAAUACUUGGUAAGUUUUCCGGAUUCUAUGGAUGCUUAUUACUAGAUUCAUGGAUAUCCAUUAGUUAUCAAGUACAAGCCAUUGGAAGGUGGUUCAAGGUGAGAAUCACCUUGAAUGGCCAAUACUUGGUAAGCUUUCCAAAUUCUAUGGAUGCUUAUUGCUAAACCCAUGGAUGUUCAUUAGUUAUCAAGUACGAGCCAUUGGAAGAUGGUUCAAGGUGAGGGUCUUUAGUGUUUGAAGCCAUUAAUGGGAAGCAACUACCAUUUUUCAUGAACCCUUUGGAUCAAAUCUUGAUUGCUAAAUACAAAACCGGUUCGGGAGAUAACCAUCAUUUACGUUAUUGUCCCCAAUGCGAGGAGAAGAUCCUGAAUCUCCCCCUUUGCCUAAGGAACCCAAUCCUAGUGACCUAAAGCUCCAAGAGACAUUAUCUUUGUAGUUAACUUAAAUUGCUAUUUUUGCUUAACUUAAAAUCAACUUUUUCAACCACAAUUCCAUUUUUUUUUUAAAAGCUAAUUUUCAUAAGGAAAAACACCAUUUCAUUAUCUUCACUAAAGUCACUUGUACGAAGAAAACCCAUUCCUGUGGACGAUCUUAAAGCCACUAUACUAUAUUAGCCAUGCUACCCUAGUUUAAGGUGAUUUAAGUUUUAUAAAUUUUGUUGAUAACACCCGUCUAGCGCAAAAAUCAAAUGGCGCCAUUGCUGGGGACGAAUCAAAUGGCGCCACUGCUGUGGAUGAAUCAUAACAUAUGUUUGAUAUUUCAAAAGAAAAAAACACAAUUAAAGAAAAAAAGGAAUGACUUUUGAGUUCCUUAAAUGAAGAAAAUUUCUAUGAAAUUGAUGAGGGUGAUUCUGAUGAUGAAAUUGAGGAAGUUGAUAUGGUUGAUUUUGAAAGAAGACAAAUGAAACAAGCAAUGAAAGAAAGUUGUUGAAUUUUUGAAGAAGAUAGAUAAGAGCAUCAGAAGGGUGCUAGUUUCUCACAUCCUUCUAUUGUUGGGAUUAAGCAUGGACUGAUAUGUAGCUUCAGUGUAAGAGAAGGAUUUAACAUACCUCUAAAAGGAAUUGAUCCCUACAUGUUCCCAUCAAAGUAGAAAUCAAUAAAAAACUUGUUUUCUACUGAAGACGUGAAAAAAGUGGGUAAAGUCAUUUCUAAAUUCUUUCUCUUUAAUGCAAUACACUUUAAUGCAGUUGAUAGUGAGGUUUACUAUCAAUCAAUGAUUGAUACCAUAGCAGAAGAAGGUCUAAGCAUCAAGGGUCCACAGGAUACCAAAUUGGAAAUACAUAUUUGGAGGAUGAGGUGCAAGAGCUUGAGGUAUAUAUAACAACAUUGAAGGUUAAAUGACCUACAUAUGGGUGCACAAUCAUGUGUGAUGGUUGGAGUUCUAGGACUAGAAAUCUUAUCAUCAAUUUCAUGAUUUAUUGUGACAGAAGUAUGAUAUACCAUUCUUCAGUAGACACUACCAACAUACCUAAGACAACAAACUACAUUUUUUCCCUUAUGGAUAAAGUUGUAGAGGAGGUUGGGGAGGAAAAUGUUGUUCAAUUAGUCACUGAUAAUGAGACAAGUUUUAAAGUAGUCGGUAUAUUGUUGAUGGAGAAGCGGAAACAUUUUUUUUGGUCUCCUUAUACAGGCCACUGUAUUUAUUUAAUGCUUGAAGAUAUUAGAAGCAUGAAGCAGAUUAAAGAGACAUUAGAUCAAACAAAGAUCACGAGAUUUAUUUAUAAUAGGUUGAAAGUAGUGAAUUUGAUGAAAGUUUUCACCAAGGAUAAAGAUUUGUUAAGGCCAGAAAUAACUCGAUUUGCCACUGAAUUCAUUUCACUUGAGAGUCUUAUAUGUUAUGAGGCUGAUUUGAAGAGAAUGUGCACAAUAAAUGAGUGGCAUGAAUUCAAUAAAGAUAAGAGUAGAAAAAGUCUAAGAGAUAAGGUAUCCAAUCUUAUCUUAACUAAUCCAUUUUGGAAGAAGGUAGGAGAAGUUCAAACCAUCAUGGAACUGACCGAAAUUCUCUAUUGUGCCAAAAUACUUAGCCUUUUUACGUAGUAACUCUGGUUAAGAAAUUCUAGAGAAAGAGUCACUACGGCUUUUGUAGUAUUCCGAGUAUUGUUCUCAAGGACUGGCUUAUGAAAAUUGUCAAUACUAGAAUAAAUGAAUUGUUUUUGUUUAAAUCCUAAAGUGAAAAACAAUAUGUGAAUAAUGUGAAUCUAAGUAAAAGAAAUUAAAUUAAUAAAAAAAUGAAUAUUAAUUUUAAAUUCAAUUGAUUCAAGUUUGGGGUUUUCCACAAUCCAACCUAGGGUAUAGAAAUUAGAGAAAACAAGGGUAUUUUAAGUAAUAUGAUCUUAGGGUUUUGGGAUCCUUGGCCGCUCGCGAUCAAGUUGAGUUCUAUAACUCACAAUUGCAUCCGAAACCUAAUUUUUCCUUUUUAAAAACAAAUUCCUAAAACCAUCAAAUGAAUGAGAUUGAUUAUCAAUUUAAGAUUUGGCUUUUUAACCCUUCCUACUCCUUAUAGCUUUGUUUAGGGGCAAAUAACGGUAGGGAAGACGAGGAUAACUAAUGAUCAAGAAUUACCAAGAAUCACUAGUAUCAAGUAAUAACCUACCUAUCAUUCCCUAAACGAACUCACAGGGAUAGGAUAAAAAAAAUGAUAAAUUGUCACCCAACCAAUAAUUAAUCUCAUUAUUAUAAUAAUUUACCCAUUGUCCCUAUAGGUUUUCUAGCCCUUAGGUUUUCAUGCUUCAAGCCCCAAGUUGGCUCUUAGCCUCUCAUGGGGGUGAUGUCACAUUCACAAUCCAUAAUAGGGUAAAAAUCCAUAAUUUGAAUACAAAGAAACUAAAAACAAUAUAUUCAAUAAAGAAGAAAAAGAAAACAAACCAAAGUUCUUGUCUUCUUCCACCUUUAAUGUCAAACUCUCCAGAAAAAAAUCCAAGAUGCCCAAAACCUAGAAUUGAGAGAGUUUAUAUAAUAUCCUCAAUUACCUAACAUGUGGCACACUCUCAUUGGCCACUUAUUACAAAAUAAUUUCAUAAAAAUGAUUAAAAAAAUAAUAAAAUGGUGAUUUAUAGUCGUGCGGGGUCCACCUAGGGCGGAUGGAGUGCUCUAGAUGCAAUUCCCGAGGUAGGGGAGGUAGAACAUCAAAGUGGCAGUGGGUGAAUUUGAAAUUGGUGUCAUUUCAAAGUGGAUUUCGAAUUCAUAAGUUGAAUUUCGAAAUCAUUUCGAAAUGACCCUCCAACUUGGUGCAGUUGUCUUCAAAUGGCCAUAACUUCUUCAUUUCAGCUUUGAUUUGCACACCGUUUGAAGCGUUGGACUCCUGAAUUCCUGAGCUUCGAAAAAAUAUAAAGUAUGUAUAUAAUAGGUGUGGACCCGCAUUUUUCAGGUGCGUCCCCACUCGAUCGGCGAGACUCGCUUUUUAUUUGUGAAAAAUUGAUUUUUGAAGAAAAGUUGGAGUCGCCACUUAUUUUAUUUUUAUUUUUGAAGGGAAAAUAAAACAAGAAAUAAAACCCUAAAAAAAAUGACUCCAUAAGUUUUGGAAAAGCGUGUCUUUGAAAAACCCGAGUCUAAGUCCGAGGAUCAAGUUACUUAUCGGGAAGGUACCUCUAGGAGGUAGCACCCCUCUAAGCCCUAAAGAGGUCUCUACUGACUAGGUUAAGGGGAAUAUGGCAAUUAAUCGGUUAAUUAUGGAUACCUAAGUAGGCUAGGUGAUUUCAAAAGAUUUGCAUGCUAAACAAGAUCAAAUCACAAAAACAGAGAGUUAGGGUGCAUACCUGAACCGUUCUUCAAGCGCUAUCAUAAAACAUAAAAGUUAGUGUAGAAACGUAGCACACAACAUUUGUUUUAUUCAAGCAAAUCAAGCAUAUAUCAAGACAUCCAAGAAUCACGUCAAAUAUGGAUAUGGUCAUCAAUGACAUACAAGCCCAUAGAGUUCUAAAAAAAAUGGAUGAGAAGAGAGCGUACCUGGAUAGCAAGCUAGUACUCCUCUAUGGGAAACAAGAGCAUCUCAACAAUAAAUAUUAAGUGAAUUCAAGUAUUUCAUCAAGAAGAAUCAAAAAUCAACAUAUCAAGUAAACAGUAUUGAAGUGAGUGCUAUGAAUGUCGGGCCCCCACCAAAGCCCUAAUUAAUUUCGCAUGAGUUGAUUCCAUGAAUUCCAUUGUUUGGAAUCAUGAAGUGUAUUCAUGCUUAUUGAAAAUCAAGAAAAACACAAAAAUAGUUAAAAAUCAAAUAAAACAUUGAAAGUGCAUACCCGAAGGAAAGUGGCAGCAAAUAGCAUGUUAAAAUUGGGAUUUUAUACCUAGAAACUCCUAAGGAAUUCUGAAGAAAACCAAAGUUAUUUUGAUGGAAAGAGAUUUUUGAAAUUCAUAUUUAAGAUGUAUAAGAUCACAAAAAAAAGAAGAAGAAACGAUAGGAGGAGUACGAUGUGAGGCAUAGUGGCCACGUUGGAGUGAGGUCAGGGGUUAUGACCAAGUUUGCACUGUUGGUGAUUGCAGGUACUGCUGUCAUUUUCUCUGGAUUUUUCCUUCUGCUCUCUCGUAUGCAUUUAGGUACCUUACAUCACUGCAUUCUCGGACCCUUUCUAAUUCCUUGAAAUCCCCCCUUCUUUUCACCACUCUGUUUCUGUAGCAUCUCUACUUCCAUUGCUCUUGUGAUGGGAAAUCUUUCAGAGUCUUUGCUGAAAUCUUCUACAACCUGUAGGUUUACAGUUUUAGUUUGUACUUCAGAAUCUGUCAUUCUAGAAUUUUCAGCGAGUAUUGUCUCAGAAUGCCAAUCCUAUUUAACCGAUUCAACUUCAAUGGAUACGGCUGGAAACCCCCUGACGUCUCUCUCUUUCUCUAUGAUCAGUUCUUUGUUGUUUUCAUACUCUUCUGCAGGUUUCUCAGCUCCCUCAGGAACCCCUACUGGCAGCUUCAUGAUUCUGUCACUUUCUAUUGGAGAAUCUGGAACAUAUCGGUGAGUAAUCUUGGAAACAAUUGGGCAAUCUGUAGGUUCUUCACUUGUUCUCAUUGCUAAGUUACCCCAUUCCAUCUGAUACCUGGACCUGCCACCUCUGCUGGUAUGUUCCGUUGAACUAAGCAAGCUUGUUGAUGUAGCCAUUAAAAUUGUCUUGACGACAGCGAGGAUCUACUAAAGAUCACUUUCUUGGCGUCUCUAGCUCUGUGAGAUAUCUCAAGGUGUAGCUCGAAAGACUCAUAUUCUGAGAUCUUAUCACCAGUGGUGUUUGCUUGGCUUGCUUCUUUUAGCUAUUUACAUGGACAAAACUGAAGUCUAAUGCAGUGUUUCAAUCCACAGAUGGUUGUUUCACCUCCGACUUCUCACUUACUGGUGUCGAUAAUAACGACAGUAUCCUGACUUCAAUCAUUUCGAGUUCCAGCAAAGACUUUAUUCUGAAGAACUCCCAUCUGAAAUUCUGAAGUACUGAUGCCCUGCAACCCCUGACUCACGAACGCAGCUUCGACUUGUGUUGCUUGUCACUUGCUCUUUUUAAUACUCUCCACCUUAUUCUCUUCCACCUGUAGUUUGGUUGUCAAUCAUUUCUUCUCUUCUUCAAAUUCUCUAAUCUGUGCCCUUGACUUCUCAAUCUGAAAUUCUGGAGCAGCUUGCUUUUCUCAUAGAGACUCAGUUUCUGCUGCAUUGGAUUUUCUCUUCAAAUCCUCAUUUACAAUUUUUAGCUGCUCAUUUUCUUUCAUCAGCUUUACAAUUUCACCAGCUUUUACCUGAGCUUGUCUUGCAGCCUCCACCCUAGAGUGCAGUUUUCAGCAUCUUCAAUUCGCUCAGCUAAGUUACCUUCCAUCUCUGGGACUGACCAGUUCAUUUCUGUUUUAAUAUCAGGUACACAUUUUUAAUCAUCUUGUUAUGGAGGUCAAUGGCAGAAUUCAGUCUAUAAAAGAUCAUCCAUCUUCGAAUGCAAUCUAUCCGUCAUAAGGAGAACAAAUUGUCUUGCCCACAACCCAAUCAAAUAAUUUAGAAUAUGCAAUUCUGGCCAGAACAUCUCUAUCGACAGCUGCAAAGUCUGGACCUAGCCGUUUCGAAAACCAAGUAUCUCUUAGUCACUGAUUGAACCAUGCAUCUUUCUACCUUGAAUCAAGACCUUCCUCUUAUACGGAGCAGGGAAUUCUCAUUAUAAGACCACAUUAGCUAUCUUCAGCAGGGCCAUUACUGAAAUUGAGGAAUCACAUUCUGAUUUACUGUUUGAAGAAGUGCCUGAGCGUGAAUCGCUUGAUGAAGAGCUUGAAUCACUAUUGGAGGUACUGGAAAUAUUACAUCCGUUUACUCUUGAAACUGAGACUGAAAUAACUGCCUUGCAUGGUGCAAAGAUGUGCAUAUUUAAAAACAUGGCAGUAGGGUAAUUGAAGAAUCUGAAUGACUCCCUCGGAUUUCGAUACGCAGGGCAUAGUAUUCCCAUCAUCAGUUUCCUUCUCAUGGUGUUGGUUUACAAUAGCAAAGGCUGCAUCUUCUAUUUCCUUAGCAUACUUCUCAAUUGCUUCUCUCAUCAGAAGACCACACUUUCUGGAGAGAAUGGAUAGAGUAAUUAAGAUUCUUGGUCAUUCGUUGCACGAGCAUCAACCUGGUACUCUGGCUAGGGUUGGAGAGAUGGAAGAUAGCCUUACAUCAGGCAUUAAGGCAUCUUCCUCCUCUCCCAAAUGCACUGAAGCAUAAUCAAGCUUCUUAAUGGAGGUAAAAAGAAUCUGGUUUGGACCAUCAUCAUCACUAGAAGUUCUUCCCAUCUUCAUUAAAUUCAAGACAGAGUAAACUGUAUGAAGUUCAGCGUUCUGGGAAGAUUUAUCAAAAAUCAAACCCAGUUUCAGAUUUUGAAGGCUCCUCAAUCUUCACAUGUCCAGGCACCAUUUGUAUUGUUCUUAAUAAGUCGACGCAUACGAUCAAAUGAAAUGCAAGACUCUGCAGUAUCUUUCUUAGGAGCAACAUCAGGAACUUUACCAGAAUAGUCUCUUGGGGAUUCCUGAACCAGGGGUUCUGAUGUUUGUGAAAGUACACCUUCAGACAGAGGGACAUCACAAUUAAUUGGUCUAUUCACUAAGGUGUCUGGCUUAUCUUGGGGUUAUGAGCAAUGAAAGAAACAUCUGCAUGAAGUUCUCUAUAAAUCCUUGCUAAUUUCUGCAGGGAGAAAGUCACCCAACCAGGUGUGCCUAUUGUGCCAAUAGGGGAUUCUAUCUGAGUGGAGAAGACAACGUAAAGAGGGUUAUGAGAGCUUUGAUUUCACGCUAAAACUUCGACCUGAACUUCAGUCUCAAUGACAUCUGAAAACUGGUGAGAUUUGGUUCGCUGUAUCCAAUGAGUGAGCCCUUGGUCUGAAUGUGAGAACAAACCUAUUACCGGUUCGAAUUUCUUCUUAAUCUUCUCUUGAAAUAUAUUUAGCCAUUCGCUAUUCUGGACAUUUAAUCAAGGUGGUAGAAAUUGAUCUUUUUAGUAUAUCUCCAAUGCCUUCCAAGAUCUCCAUUAUUAGCGAUUCUGUCACCUCCCCUGAUGCUUCGAAUUUGAGUAUCAUCAAAACUACUACUGCAACCUAGAGUAUAAAAAUUUUAAUUCCAUCCUCUGAAUUGCUAUGCGUCGUGUUUAAGCGAGUCAAACAGGUUAACUUAGAGGCUUCUUCUGGAAUUUUCCUGAUCAGUUGACAAUUUUGGACAUCAAACACCUGUGGUUUCUCAAUUCCAGAGACGAAAAGAGUGACUUUUGUAUUGAGUGAAUCCUCCAUAUUCUAAGAAGACAUAUACGUCUUCUUAUCCUUAUCCCCAUUGUCAAUGUACCUGCUAUCUAAGAAGAUAGCAGGGUGCUUCAUUGCAAGAACAAUAUAUCUCUCACUAGAUGAUAAGAUGUACUUCUUUCCAUGGCUCCAACUGCAAGCACCACAGAUUCCAGAGCAUAUCGCCUGUGCAUGAAUUCAACAACUCGCAUUCUCUUCUAGGCUGCUAAAUUAGAAGCAACUGGCUGCAUACUUAUUAAUUCAAUAGCAUCUUGAAAUUUGUUGCCAAGGACUUCAUCGAAUAAUACCCGCAGGGAGGUUUGAAUAGAAAAUCUUUCCAAAACAAAAUUUUCAACAAAAGGGGUCAGACUGGUUAUCUUCUCCAAUUGCCAUAAUUUCUCUUUCAGGCAACAACAAUGAGGAUUUUGAAUUCCAUAAAUGAGCAGAAUUGACAUAUGCGACAAAAGAGACAAGAUCAAGUUGAUAACAUAAAGACUCAGAAAGGUCUACUGUGCAAGAUACCUCAUCUGAUUGAUCACCUUAUUGAGAAGGUUCUUCCAACCGGAGUAUUUGGAACUUACUUGUUCGCAGAAGUUGCAUCAAUUUCCUUCUUGCUAUUCCUUAUAGUAAUUGCUAAGCCUGUAUUGGAUCCUUCGGUAUACUGAAACUGUUUCAGAAUAUUCUAACACAAUACAUCAAGAAUCUCUGGAAAUUCUGAAACUACAUUCCUAAAACCCAUGAACUCCGUUUCCUCAAAAUAGUAUCUCCCUGAUUUGCAUUAAUCCCAUUGCCAUCACCAAUCGUCUCUGCCCCAAAUCUGUAAUACGACCCAGAAUCGGCGCCAAUCCCGUCAAUCCAUCAAUGGUAUCCCACAAUUUUUCGUGCUGCUCUAAUAACUCAAGGCGUGAUUCAAAACCCUAGUUCAAACCAUCCUUUUCAGUGCUACCCAAAUCAAUCACCUUCCUGACACUCUCCGAAACCCUCUGUUUUACAAGUCAGAUUGCUUUCUCUAUUUAGCUAUGCUUGCAAAUAAUCCCUGGAGUUGCGAUUCUGUACGAGCCAUUGAAUCCCAUAGGGUUAGAAAGGCCAAAUCUGAUGCCAAUAAGACGCUACCCCCAAUCUCCACAAUCCACUGAUUGCUGCACAGUUCACUCCUCAUAUCGCCACUUACAUCAUUCCUCAACAUAUACCCAAAUACAAGAGCAAGGGUUCGAACACCAUACGAGGAAAAGAAUAUAGAUAAAAGAUAAAAAAAUUGAAGUAAAACUUAGAGAAGGAAAUGGCAGAAGGUGUUGAUCAGUAAACAUGGAUAGCCCCCACUUCAGAUAUUAAUCCAUGGGCUAAAAACAGAGGGAAAAAUGCAGAAUAUGAUUUAAAUGAAGAACAGAAUCUGAUCACAUUCAGGCAUGGAGUUAUAUGCUUCCGAAGACAUCAAUGACAUCCAAAACCAAAACAAGGCAAACAAGCAAGCAACCAAUCUCAACAAAACAAAUUGUGGCCCUCUUCGUCCACACAAAAUCAACAAUACCAUUAAAUGUUCACGUGGAAAAAAUCAAAUAUAGGUCAGAAUUCCAAAAGCAACGAGGUGCAUACCUGGACAGCCUUGGUCGCAAUUGCUCUUUUCGUUUCCCUCUCCUUUUUCCUCUCAAAACUUCUCCAAUCCUCCAAUACGUGCUCCUCCAAAAAGAAUCUCCUCCCUCAAUCAAAAAAAGGCCCUCUCCCUGCCUCCUCUCUCACGUAUAUAUACGCCUUUCCCUAAAACCUAAAUCUCCCUAAAAAAAAAAGGCCAAAUCUCCUAUUUUCACUCUUCUUUUCUCCUUAUCCUUUUUUAAAUCUUCCAAUUCAAAAGCAAUCUUCCCAACUUCAAAUUCUCCUCCAAAACCUUCCAAGGAGAGUCCCACUUUCCUUAAACUCCAAUGGUAAGUUUCCUUGCAAAAACAUGAAAUUUUAGAAGUUAAAUAAUUGCAUGAAUAGAUAAAUAAGUAAAUAAAUUAGAAAAUGGUAAAAAUAAUAAAUAAAUAAAUAAGUUGAGGAAAAUAAUAUCAAGAGGAAAAUGAAAUAAAAUAAAAUAAAAUGAAACAAAUUAACAAAAAAAAAAAAAAAUGGGCCCUACGAGCCAUGCAAACACGCAAGUCAUAUAAGUCACGCUAAAAAAAAUCCUAAUAGACCCAGUAUACCUAAACGGGCCUAAGGUGAGACUAAGUGGGCCUAAGGUGGUGCCUAAUGGGCCAAGUGCAUCUCAAAACUAUCCUAGAAAUGAAUGAAAAGCCUAAUUCUAAAUUAGGGCUGCCAAAGGUCACAAUAAGGGAUCAAAUAAUCCCUCAACCAAAGUCUCCGAGGUGACCUAGAAAAAGGUAAGUCGUACGAGUAGUAAUGGGCCACCAAGGAACUACCGUGAAGCACCGGAAGUGAAUUUAAAGACAUGUGCUAAAGGGACAAAAUUGAGGGUUUACAAUAGGCUCCACAAAGUGCUCUAAAUUUGUCCUCAAAGUCAGAGUAUAUAAUGCCAUCAGAUUUUUGAGUUCUAAAUUUCCAUGCAGCUGAAUCUUUCUUCAUGCCUCAUUUCCCAUGCUUUCUUGCCUUUGCUUACUUCAUAAUGGUCAUUUCUCAUCUUUCAAACUCAUGAUAUCCUUGUCUUGCCUUUGCUUACAUUCCAUGAGUCUUGACUCACUUAUUUCCUCAUUUAGCCCUUUCUUGAUCUUUCAAAAUCUAAAGUCAUUCAAUUUGCACCAUUUUCUUCACUUGAACCUGAGAUAAGUCUCCAAAGUACAAAUUAAACUCAUGGUUAGGCCCUUAGCAUUUAUUUAGUUCAAGUUGGGUGAUUUGAAUGUCCUUUGGUGCACAAAUCAUAUCGAAUAUGUGCCAUUAGAGCACAUAUUUUGGCUCCAAUAAGGAACCUCUUGUCAAAGUAUUGAAAUUAGUUGAUCAAGAUAAAAAGCCCACACUACCAAUCAUUCAUGAAGCAAUGGAUAGAGCUAAAUUGGCUAUCAAGGUAUUAGUCAAGCAAUGGGAAAAGUAUUGGGAAGUCAUUAAUAGAAGGUGGGAAGGUCAAUUGCACAAACAUUUGAAUGCUGUAGGUAAUUAAAAAAAAUUCUUUACAUAUAUUUUUAUUAUUUUUUUCAAGUACAAAUUAUUAUAAACUGAUCAUUAUUUAACUUAACAGACAAAAUAUUUUUUAAAAUCCAAUGUUCUAAUAUUCAAAGUUUUUCUCCAACCAUUCGAAAAUUAAAAUUGGAUUAAAGGAAGUUAUCAAGAGAUUAGAGCCAAAUUUAGAUAGACAAGCAAAAGCUAUUAACAAGGUAUAAUAAUAAUUUGUAACCUUUAUAUAAUACAUUUUGUAUAUGUAAUGUGCAUAAAAAAAAAAUGGUAAUGAUAUAAGUGAAAUUAUUUGUUGACGACUAAGGAGAAUUUGGAAGAGUACUUACAAAGAAAGUAAUAAAUCAAUCUUUUCUAGGUACUCAAUACAUUUACAUCUAUUACAAAUAAGAAAUUAUCAUCAUUUUUGGUUCAAUAUAUCAUGAUUAUUAAUAAGUACACAUUUUCUGUAUUAUAGUUGAAUGGUGGAGCAAUUAUGGUGACAAAGGUCCACAUCUACAAAAAAAUUGAUGUUAAAUUUUUAAGCCAAACUUGUUCUUCAUCAGGUUGUGAAAGAAAUUGGAGAGAACAUGAUCAUUGAUUCACACAAAGUUGUGCAACUGUUUAGCAAUGAAAAAGUAGUAUAAGUUCGUUUAUGUGUACUACAAUAUGCGACUUCGAGUUAAGAAUUUGAUGCAAGAGCGAAACAAUGAUGAUUUAUACAAUUCAAUUUAUCUUAAUCAUAUUUUUAAUGAUGAUGAUAUAUUAGACGAGUGGAUACAAGAAGGAGAGGAGCCUAUUUUAUCAUUUGAUAAUUUGGAUUAGUUGGAUAAAGGUCUUUCCCCUAAUAAAGAAGGUAGAGAAACAAUUCCCUAAGAUGAUGGUUCCACAAGUUGUAGAGUUAGUAAGUGUAAAAGCAAUGCUACACAAAAAAGAGCUAUUGAUUUUCUUUGUAAAAGUAAGACUCGUAGAAAAAUUUCUUUAAGUGCUAGUAGUGAUGAUGGUGACAAUGGGGACAGUAGGUGGGUGGUGGCACUAGUGGGGGUAGUGGACGAGUUGGUGGCACUAGUGAGGGUAUUAGAGGAGAUAGUGGUGCUGGUGGUAGUUAUGUUAGUCAAGUAGAUACUGGCAUGUCAUGGCCACAAAGAGAUGAAAAUUACUAUGCCACAUAAGAUAUAAAUCAUGGAUAUCGACUAGGGAUAUGGGAACAACGAAAGCAUUUGGAAAUACUAACUAUAGUCCCAAUGAUGAUGAUUAUUCUAGUGGGCAUGAUUAUCAUAGAUCAAAUUAUCACCGUAUUGAUGAGCACUUACAGAAUUUGGGUAUAGGAUCAAGGUCGUAUUUCAAAAGAGUAUACGAUAGAUCAUAUCACAACUUUAUAAACCGUGAUAGCUUUUCUAGUACUUUUACUAGAAAUGAUUUUAAUCGAUUUCUAAGGAUGCAUCUAGAGGGAUAUUCAAAUAUUGGAACACGAGCUAGUGAUUCCUAUGAAUAUGACCAAUCUUCUAGUAACAACAACAUUGCCUAUCGAGGUUUUGGAUACUAUCAAUAUGGUGUUGAUCUCGAACAUCCCCCGAAGCCAUAUUUUCCUGAUUAUGGAUCAUCAAACCAAUCAUCUUAGCCAACAUAUUUGAGUUAUGAACAACUCUUUCAACCAUAUCCUCACUAUAGGAAUUACCAUCUCGAUUUAUAUACUCAUUGUAGGAUUGAUGAUGAUAAUUUUGAGCCUCCUUGUCAUUCAACAUGGAAUUGAUUAUUGUAUCGUAUGUCUAUUAGUAAAAAUGUUAUUAUAUUUGAAAUAAAAUAUUUUUCUAUUAUUAAAAUUAUUAUAAAUAACUUUCAGCGGAUACUUUUAUAACUAUUUAAAUCAUGUUAAAUGAGAGAAAAUUUUUUUAUUAAUUUUUUAGCUUAUUUAAUUAUACAUAUUUUUCUGAUAAUUUACAUAAUAUUUUUAUAUUUUUUUGAAUUUUCUAAUUAGCUUAUUUUAUGUCUCGUCUGAUACCAAGCCGAUACACUGAGAUCGAUAUGCCUAGGGACCCUCCAAGUCAAUGAUUGAUACCACGAUUUUGAACCAUGAUUUGAAUGCUUUACAUAUGAAGAGUGCUAAACACAUGUUUGGGAAAAAGACAAAGCCAUAAUAAGCCUUAUUAUCAUGGGUUAUUUGACUAAAAGGAUCUUUGAAAACCCAAAAUUUGAAAUUUAACCUUUCAUCUUUUUUUGGUCUUAUUUUGACAAAAAUGCCCUCACUUUUUUUUUUUUUUUGUAAAAAUAACUCUUUCUUUUAAAACCUAUAUGUAAAUACUUGAAAUGACAAAGGGUAUUUAUGUCUAAACUGGGUUAAUUUUCAAGGAAAAACAUAUUUUAUUUUGAGGUGAUGUAACAUUCAAUAGACAUGCAUAACUUAAAAACUCAUAAGGUGUGGAUAAAUCAAUUUAAUGCUUAAUAGGACUUAAUAAUUUAAUUUAAUUUAUUAAUUAAAUUAAACAUGCUUGAUACCAUAACUAAUUAAAAUUAAAUUUUUUUAAAUAUUAUGUUAAGAUAGUUAAUUUAUUCUUAAUUUUAAUUAUUUUAUUUCAUAUUAUUUGUUUAUAUCUAAAGAGAAUAUACUUUACAAUCAUGCCUUCACAUGUAUGACACAAUUUUUAUAUUUAAUAUAUUAUAUGACUAUAUUAUAUAUCUAUAAUACUUUAAAUAUGAAUGUUUAACAAAUAAAUUUAUUUAAUGAGAUUAAUGAAAAUAAAUAUUAAUAAAUCUAUAAUACCUUAAAUAUGAAUGUUUAAUAAAUAAAUUUAUUAUAUGAGACUAAUGAAAAUAAAUAUUAGUUGAAAUUUAUUAAGGUAAAAAUUAAUUAAAAUGAAUGAGGAUAAAUGUCAAUUUGAUCAAACUUAAUGAGAGUAAAUAAGGUUGAAGUUAUUUUUUCAGAAAAAAAACAACUUCAAAAUUCAACUAAAGUCGUCUUAAAGACAACUUCUAAUUGGAAUCCUCUAUAUUACCCCAUAUUUGAAAAUAUUUUUUAGAUUGCCAUAUUUAUUUAUUUUUUUGAAUCCUCUAUGUUAACCUGUCUUUGUAACACCUGAUUUCCAAACCAUACCUGAAUUUCCUACUGGUUGCUGGGAAUCGUUCAAGAAAUUUUACUUGGAUCUUUUUAUUAUUGCUAAUCAGAAAAACAUGUGAUACUGUGUCUGUUUUUAGUAACUAAUGGUAGAUCUCCCUCAUCAACAUUAGUUUGACUGACUAGGCAAAAGGGGUUCCUUCAAAUCAAUUGUACAACUUGUUUUGUUAGAGGAUUCAUCUAUCAAGACUCGCACAUUCUUUGCUUCAUUAUUUUGCAGCUCUGGAUUACUCACUGUCUGGGAUUCUUCAAGGUCUUUGGCUUUACCCCACAGCACAACGUACAAGCCAAUAAUCACUGCAACAGCACCUACUAAGCUGCAUUCAAAUGUCAUCAGCUUUUGGAUUACUCCAAAUAUCUCAUUGAGGAAAUACGUAUGAAACUUGCAAAAGA